AGCGAACGCUAGCGGCGGGCUUAACACAUGCAAGUCGAGCGCGUGGCUUCGGCCACGAGCGGCGAACGGGUGAGUAACACGUGGGAACCUGCCUUUGGGUACGGAACAACACCGGGAAACUGGUGCUAAUACCGUAUAAUGUCUACGGACCAAAGAUUUAUCGCCUGAAGAGGGGCCCGCGUUGGAUUAGCUUGUUGGUGAGGUAAAGGCUCACCAAGGCAACGAUCAGUAGCUGGUCUGAGAGGAUGAUCAGCCACACGGGCACUGAGACACGGGCCCGACUCCUACGGGAGGCAGCAGUAGGGAAUAUUGGACAAUGGGCGCAAGCCUUGAUCCAGCCAUCUCGCGUGAAGGAUUAAGGCCCUCUGGGUUGUAAACUUCUUUUCUUUGGGAAUAAAAACUCCGUUUCUACGGAGCUUGAAGGUACCAGAGGAAUAAGCACCGGCUAACUCCGUG
rnacentral:rRNA from 1 species